AAUAUAUUAAAACAAUUGUAAAAAAUAAAUAAUUUGUGUUUGUGUUAUAAAAAUUGUGUCCGAAUCGUUUUUUUUUUCUUUGUGCGAAUUUUGGACCUGAAAUUGUGUUGAAUUCACACAGAGCAUGGAAGUAUGAAUGUAUAGUUGGACAUGGAAAACCAUUUGAUACCCUUCAAAAGGAUAGGGUAGAGGAGAAAGGUGGUAAAAGUGACUGAUAGAAGAAAGCUUUAUUUAUUUACAAAGCACCCAAAAAUGUAACCUUGCACCUUUUCUUGCAUUUUUCAAAUAUUUCUUGACACUAUUUAUAUCUUAUUCUACAUAUUUUGUUUUCCCAAAUUUUAAUUGUAUUUUCUGUAAAAAUAUACAAAUUAUGUGAAACAUAAAAAUAAGUUUU